ensembl:snRNA U1 U1 spliceosomal RNA
AUGCUUAACCUGGCAGGGAAGAUACUGUAUCACAAUGUUGCUUUUCUCAGAAUGAGGCUCAUCUACUGUCCUGGAUGUGCUGACCUCUGUAAUUCCUCAGAUGGAGGAAAGCCAGAUAUUUGUGUUGUCAGGGGAUUGUGCUUAUGCUUUGCCCUAA